rnacentral:rRNA from 1 species
UUUGCAUAUCAAUAAGCGGAGGAAAAGAAACCAACAGGGAUUGCCCCAGUAGCGGCGAGUGAAGCGGCAAAAGCUCAGAUUUGGAAUCGCUUCGGCGAGUUGUGAAUUGCAGGUUGGCGCCUCUGCGGCGGCGGCGGUCCAAGUCCCUUGGAACAGGGCGCCAUUGAGGGUGAGAGCCCCGUGGGACCGUUUGCCUAUGCUCUGAGGCCCUUCUGACGAGUCGAGUUGUUUAAUA